rnacentral:miRNA from 1 species
CAGUCACCCCUCUACUCCACUGAC